rnacentral:piRNA from 1 species
UGUAGAACAUUCACUACAUGACUGUAAGAA